UGGGGAAUAUUGCACAAUGGGCGCAAGCCUGAUGCAGCCAUGCCGCGUGUAUGAAGAAGGCCUUCGGGUUGUAAAGUACUUUCAGCGGGGAGGAAGGGAGUAAAGUUAAUACCUUUGCUCAUUUACGUUACCCGCAGAAGAAGCACCGGCUAACUCCGUGCCAGCAGCCGCGGUAAUACGGAGGGUGCAAGCGUUAAUCGGAAUUACUGGGCGUAAAGCGCACGCAGGCGGUUUGUUAAGUCAGAUGUGAAAUCCCCGGGCUCAACCUGGGAACUGCAUCUGAUACUGGUCGGCUAGAGUCUUGUAGAGGGGGGUAGAAUUCCAUGUGUAGCGGUGAAAUGCGUAGAGAUGUGGAGGAAUACCGGUGGCGAAGGCGGCCCCCUGGACAAAGACUGACGCUCAGGUGCGAAAGCGUGGGGAGCAAACAGG
rnacentral:rRNA from 1 species